UGGUGCCCAAUGUGGGGCUCUUGGCACAGAGGAUUCAAUGAGGGAGCCGUUCAGAGAUGCCAGCCAAAACUGAAACUAAAGAUCCGAGACCUACGCCACGCAGGAGCCUGCCAUGCCGCUUGAGCCACGGUAAGAGAAUGGCGAUCCCUUCCCCCUUUCCCGGCAUGGGUCAAGCAUUGAGUGACCACGAACUUUUCGUGGGAGGCCUAAGUAAGGCGUUAAAGUCAAGAGGGAUUAAGGCUAAAGAAAAAGAUUUAUUAUAAUAUUUUCAAUUUAUUCAUAAGGUUUGUCCCU
rfam:Cavia porcellus supercont2_2 genomic scaffold, whole genome shotgun sequence.